rnacentral:rRNA from 1 species
GAGUUUGAUCCUGGCUCAGAUUGAACGCUGGCGGUGCGUCUUAAGCAUGCAAGUCGAACGAUAUCGACCCUUCGGGGUUGUGAAAGUGGCGAACGGCUGAGUAACACGUAGGUGAUCUACCUUGGGAUUGGGAAUAGCCCAUGGAAACAUGGAGUAAUACCGAAUACGUUCUCGUCUCUGUGGGGACGGGAAGAAAGGCGCGUGUGCGCCGUCCCGAGAUGAGCCUGCGGCGUAUUAGCUUGUUGGUGAGGUAAAGGCUCACCAAGGCGAUGAUACGUAGCCGGCCUGAGAGGGUGAUCGGCCACACUGGGACUGAGAUACGGCCCAGACUCCUACGGGAGGCAGCAGCUAAGAAUCUUCCGCAAUGGACGAAAGUCUGACGGAGCGACACCGCGUGGGUGAAGAAUGCCUGAUGGUUGUAAAGCCCUUUUUGUGCCGAGGAAUAAGGCGGGCAGGAAAUGGUCUGCCGAUGACGGUAAGCACAGAAUAAGCCCCGGCAAAUUACGUGCCAGCAGCCGCGGUAAUACGUAUGGGGCGAGCGUUGUUCGGAUUUAUUGGGCGUAAAGGGCGCGUAGGUGGUCAUAUAAGCUUGGUGUGAAAUACCGCAGCUCAACUGCGGAACUGCGCUGAGAACUGUAUGACUUGAGUUCCGGAGAGGAAGCUGGAAUUCCGGGUGUAGGGGUGAAAUCUGUAGAUAUCCGGAAGAACACCAGAGGCGAAGGCGAGCUUCUGGCCGAGAACUGACACUGAGGCGCGAAAGCGUGGGUAGCGAACAGGAUUAGAUACCCUGGUAGU